rnacentral:rRNA from 1 species
GACGAACGCUGGCGGCGUGCUUAACACAUGCAAGUCGAACGGAAAGGCCCUGCUUGCAGGGUACUCGAGUGGCGAACGGGUGAGUAACACGUGGGUGAUCUGCCCUGCACUUCGGGAUAAGCUUGGGAAACUGGGUCUAAUACCGGAUACGAACCAUCUUUAGUGUGGUGGUUGGAAAGUUUUUUCGGUGUAGGAUGAGCUCGCGGCCUAUCAGCUUGUUGGUGGGGUAAUGGCCUACCAAGGCGGCGACGGGUAGCCGGCCUGAGAGGGUGUACGGCCACAUUGGGACUGAGAUACGGCCCAGACUCCUACGGGAGGCAGCAGUGGGGAAUAUUGCACAAUGGGCGCAAGCCUGAUGCAGCGACGCCGCGUGGGGGAUGAAGGCCUUCGGGUUGUAAACUCCUUUCGCUAGGGACGAAGCUUUGUUGUGACGGUACCUAGAUAAGAAGCACCGGCUAACUACGUG